rnacentral:rRNA from 1 species
UUCGAAUUAAACCACAUGCUCCACCGCUUGUGCGGGUCCCCGUCAAUUCCUUUGAGUUUCAACCUUGCGGUCGUACUCCCCAGGCGGAACACUUAAUGCGUUAGCUUCGGCACUAAGAGGCGGAAACCUCCUAACACUAGUGUUCAUCGUUUACGGUGUGGACUACCAGGGUAUCUAAUCCUGUUUGCUACCCACACUUUCGAGCCUCAACGUCAGUUGCAGUCCAGUAAGCCGCCUUCGCCACUGGUGUUCUUCCAUAUAUCUACGCAUUCCACCGCUACACAUGGAGUUCCACUUACCUCUACUGCACUCAAGUUAACCAGUUUCCAAUGCCAUUCCGGAGUUGAGCUCCGGGCUUUCACAUCAGACUUAAUAAACCGUCUGCGCUCGCUUUACGCCCAAUAAAUCCGGAUAACGCUCGGGACAUACGUAUUACCGCGGCUGCUGGCACGUAUUUAGCCGUCCCUUUCUGGUAUGGUACCGUCAAACUAAAAUCAUUUCCUAUUCUAGCUGUUCUUCCCAUACAACAGUGCUUUACGACCCGAAAGCCUUCAUCACACACGCGGCGUUGCUCCAUCAGGCUUUCGCCCAUUGUGGAAGAUUCCCUACUGCAGCCUCCCGUAGGAGUUUGGGCCGUGUCUCAGUCCCAAUGUGGCCGAUCAGUCUCUCAACUCGGCUAUGCAUCAUUGUCUUGGUAGGCCUUUACCCCACCAACUAACUAAUGCACCGCGGAUCCAUCUCUAGGUGACGCCGAAGCGCCUUUUAACUUUGUGUCAUGCGACACUAAGUUUUAUUCGGUAUUAGCAUCUGUUUCCAAAUGUUAUCCCCAGCCUUGAGGCAGGUUGUCCACGUGUUACUCACCCGUUCGCCACUCACUUGAAAGGUGCAAGCACCUUUCGCUGUGCGUUCGACUGCAUGUAUA